rnacentral:rRNA from 1 species
GACGAACGCUGGCGGCGUGCUUAACACAUGCAAGUCGAACGGUAAGGCUCCAGCUUGCUGGGGUACACGAGUGGCGAACGGGUGAGUAACACGUGGGUGACCUGCCCUGCACUUCGGGAUAAGCCUGGGAAACUGGGUCUAAUACCGGAUAGGACCGCACCGUGAGGGUGUGGUGGAAAGUUUUUUCGGUGUGGGAUGGGCCCGCGGCCUAUCAGCUUGUUGGUGGGGUAAUGGCCUACCAAGGCGGCGACGGGUAGCCGGCCUGAGAGGGUGGACGGCCACAUUGGGACUGAGACACGGCCCAGACUCCUACGGGAGGCAGCAGUGGGGAAUAUUGCACAAUGGGCGGAAGCCUGAUGCAGCGACGCCGCGUGGGGGAUGACGGCCUUCGGGUUGUAAACUCCUUUCACCAUCGACGAAGGGUUUCUGACGGUAGAUGGAGAAGAAGCACCGGCUAACUACGUGCCAGCAGCCGCGGUAAUACGUAGGGUGCGAGCGUUGUCCGGAAUUACUGGGCGUAAAGAGCUCGUAGGUGGUUUGUCGCGUCGUCUGUGAAAUUCCGGGGCUUAACUCCGGGCGUGCAGGCGAUACGGGCAUAACUUGAGUACUGUAGGGGAGACUGGAAUUCCUGGUGUAGCGGUGAAAUGCGCAGAUAUCAGGAGGAACACCGGUGGCGAAGGCGGGUCUCUGGGCAGUAACUGACGCUGAGGAGCGAAAGCAUGGGGAGCGAACAGGAUUAGAUACCCUGGUAGUCCAUGCCGUAAACGGUGGGCGCUAGGUGUGGGUUUCCUUCCACGGGAUCCGUGCCGUAGCUAACGCAUUAAGCGCCCCGCCUGGGGAGUACGGCCGCAAGGCUAAAACUCAAAGGAAUUGACGGGGGCCCGCACAAGCGGCGGAGCAUGUGGAUUAAUUCGAUGCAACGCGAAGAACCUUACCUGGGCUUGACAUAUACAGGAUCGCGCCAGAGAUGGUGUUUCCCUUGUGGCUUGUAUACAGGUGGUGCAUGGUUGUCGUCAGCUCGUGUCGUGAGAUGUUGGGUUAAGUCCCGCAACGAGCGCAACCCUUGUCUUAUGUUGCCAGCACGUUGUGGUGGGGACUCGUAAGAAACUGCCGGGGUUAACUCGGAGGAAGGUGGGGAUAACGUCAAAUCAUCAUGCCCCUUAUGUCCAGGGCUUCACACAUGCUACAAUGGUCGGUACAGCGCGCAGCGACACUGUGAGGUGGAGCGAAUCGCUGAAAGCCGGCCUUAGUUCGGAUUGGGGUCUGCAACUCGACCCCAUGAAGUCGGAGUCGCUAGUAAUCGCAGAUCAGCAAUGCUGCGGUGAAUACGUUCCCGGGCCU